rnacentral:RNase_P_RNA from 1 species
GAAGCCCGCCAGACCGCCGCUGGUGCAUGUCUCGAAAGAGCGCACUGGAGGAACGUCCGGACUGCACAGGGCAGCGUAGCAGGUAACUCCUGUCCACCGUGAGGUGAGGAUCAGAGCAACAGAGACGAGCCGGUUAAGUCCGGGUGAAACGGGCAAUCUCUACGCGCAGCAAUACCAAGUAGGCCAGCGUUGAUGUGGCUCCGCAGAGCUGGCGGGUAGGUAGCAUCGAGCCGGGUGGGCGACCCCCGGCCCAGAGUAAUGGCGGUCACGCCGGGGUUUUCGCAAGAAAGCGCCGGCGCACAGAAUCCGGCUUAUCGGCGGGCUUCACAC